rnacentral:lncRNA from 13 species
GGAACCGGAGCCGUUGUGCCAAGCCACGGCAGUGCAGCUGGCUGAAAUUAAAAGUGCAGCUGAAGCCUUGGACACUGUGUGAAGAAAGUCAUAGGCCCUCCACUCUGCAGCCUGAAGUUCCAGGAGACGACCCUUCAUAUCCCUGUGAGCCAUUAGAAGAUCUGCAUCUGCUCUUCCACCAAGAUCCCAGGAAAGUAACCACUCAUAAGUCUAAUUUAUAUCCUGGCACUAAUAGGACUAUAACCCUCAACCUUGAUAUCUCUCAAACUCUGAUUAUCCUUUUCAUAGUGGGAAGGGAACCUGUCUAGGAAAAAUGCUGCUAUUUUGUAAACUAGUCAAGUAUUGUUUUGAACAUAGAACUCAGGAAUCAAUCAAACACAGAGCUAAAAACCUUCAAGAAAUAGUAUCUUAAAGCUUGUUUAACAAGUGACUACCCUGGCUCUAUUCUAUCCUAGGCUCCUUUAUAACCAUUCUAUAAUUGUUGGCCUCUGGUUCUGUCAUCUUUAACCCUUCUGUCACAUUUGUUUCUUCUAGAACCGUAAGGUCACAAUCCUGCUGCUGGAACCAUGGAUGUCCUUGGCUUGUGGGCUCUAUCGUAGACCUCAGGAUCAAGCUGCAUCCCUGAAAGCCUCCCCCGCUGGAGGAGACCUCAAUGGCAGGGCCCAUUCUACAUCCCAUUUCAGCAGGAAGUAGUUAAAGAGGAUUGACUCCCACGUUCCAACAGAAGUUGGACUUGAUAAUGAAAUGUAUUAUGUUUCCAAGUCCACAAGGGGGCGCAGUUUUAAGCACAAGAACUUCCCAGUUCCAUGCCGUCUCUCUCCAUCUAGGAGUUUUAACUGUCUUUGUUUAAAUUUUCACAGGCACGGAAUUUAGUGAUGAAAAGACAUUAUACUCAUCCACAAGGAGCUUUCAAUCUAGUAGUUGAGACAAAGACACAAAUAAGUGAUUUCUACUGACUAAAAUAUGGGUGAAUAUAAACACCAUAGCUAUUAUUAUGGGCUCUGUGUCAACUGCAGUAAUCCUUUCAACAGCCAUGCGAAUUCAAUGUUCUUAUUCCAUAUUGAAGGUGAGAAAAAUCAGAGAGGACCAGUAGCCUGUUUGCUGUGUCACACCUAGUUAAUAAAGAUUGUAGUUCAGGUCCA